rnacentral:rRNA from 1 species
CCGCCGCGGUAACACCGGCAGCUCUAGUGGUAGCUGUUUUAUUGGGCCUAAAGCGUUCGUAGCCGGUUUAAUAAGUCUCUGGUGAAAUCCUAUAGCUUAACUGUGGGAAUUGCUGGAGAUACUAUUAGGCUUGAGAUCGGGAGAGGGUCAGAGGUACUCCUGGGGUAGGGGUGAAAUCCUGUAAUCCUAGGAGGACCACCUGUGGCGAAGGCGUCUGACUAGAACGAAUCUGACGGUGAGGAACGAAAGCUAGGGGCGCGAACCGGAUUAGAUACCCGGGUAGUCCUAGCCGUAAACUAUGCGGACUUGGUGUGAGGGUGGCUUUGAGCCGUCCUGGUGCCGAAGGGAAGCUGUUAAGUCCGCCGCCUGGGAAGUACGGUCGCAAGACUGAAACUUAAGGAAUUGGCGGGGGAGCACCACAACGCGUGGAGCCUGCGGUUUAAUUGGAUUCAACGCCGGAGAUCUCACCAGCGGCGACAGCAGUAUGAUGACCAGGUUGAUGACUUUGUUUGACAAGCUGAGAAGAGGUGCAUGG